GGUAGAAGUCAGCAGCAGACUGCUUGCUUAACACACAUGAGGUCCUGGGUUCAAUUCCCAGAACUACCA
rnacentral:tRNA from 1 species